rnacentral:rRNA from 1 species
AGAGUUUGAUCCUAGCUCAGGAUGAACGCUGGCGGCGUGGAUAAGGCAUGCAAGUCGAACGGAUUUUCUUGAAUUGAGAUUGAGAUUAUAUCAAGGUCAAUUUUCUCUGAAAAUUAGUGGCGAACGAGGUAGUAAUACAUAGGAACUUCCCCCGAAGUCGUGAAUAAUUCAUCGAAAGGUGGACUAAUACACGAUGGUCUCGCAAGAGUAAAGUUUUAACGCUUCGGGAAAGGCCUGUGCGAUAUCAGCUAGUUGGUAGUGUAAUGGACUACCAAGGCUAUGACGUCUAGGGGAGGUGAGAGCCUGACCCCCACCGAUGGUACUGAGACACGGACCAUACACCUACGGGUGGCUGCAGUCGAGAAUCUUCCACAAUGGACGAAAGUCUGAUGGAGCGACGCCGCGUGAUUGAUGAAGUCCCUCUGGGACGUAAAGAUCUUUUAUUAGGGAAGAAGUUUAUUGACUGUACCUAAUGAAUAAGAGGCUCCUAAUCUCGUGCCAGCAGGAGCGGUAAUACGAGAGCCUCGAGCGUUAUCCGGAAUUAUUGGGCGUAAAGGGUGCGUAGGUUGUUCUGUUAGUCUUUUGUCAAAGCCCCGGGCUUAACCUGGGAUCCGCAAAAGAUACGGCAGAACUUGAAAGUGCGAGAGGUUUACGGAACUCAUGGUGUAGGGGUGAAAUCCGUUGAUAUCAUGGGGAACACCAAAAGCGAAAGCAGUAAACUGGCGCAUAUUUGACACUGAAGCACGAAAGCGUGGGUAGCGAAUGGGAUUAGAUACCCCAGUAGUCCACGCCCUAAACGAUCUUCUCUCGCUAUUCGGAGUAUCGACCCUCUGAGUGGCUUAGCUAACGCGUUAAGAGAAGCGCCUGGGAAGUACGGCCGCAAGGCUAAAACUCAAAGGAAUAGACGGGGACUUGCACAAGCAGUGGAUUAUGUGGUUUAAUUCGAUGGUAAACGAAGAACCUUACCAGGGUUAGAAAUCCUAGUGAAAGCCUUUAGAAACAUUGGCCCUCGCAAGACUCUAGGACAGGUGAUGCAUGGCCGUCGUCAGUUCGUGGUUUGAAUUGUACCCUUAAGUGGGCUAACGAACGCAACCCUCGUUGUGUGUUACAAGUGUCACACGAGACNNUGGCCUCAGUUCGGAUUGGAGUCUGCAACUCGACUCCAUGAAGUUGGAAUUGCUAGUAAUCGCAGGUCAGCUAUACUGCGGUGAAUACGUUCUCAAGUCUUGUACUCACCGCCCGUCAAGUCAAGGGAGCCGGGAGUACCCGAAGUCUCCACAUAAGUGGGGCCUAAGGUAAGCUCGGUGACAGGGACUAAGUCGUAACAAGGCACGGGUAGCGGAAGCUGCUCGUG